GGAGCCACACAGGGUCUGGGAGCCGAGCGCGUCCGAAAGCGGCGGGAGGGGCGGCCAGGACUCCGCGCUCCCGGCUGGUGCGGGUGGAGCGGCCGCCGCCUGCGGGGCCCAGUCGGACGCGAGCCUCGCGUCCCCGCCGCAGGCUGGCGGACGAGAUUCGUUCGUAAGCACAGCUUCUAGCUAACAACGAGAGCAGAGUCCAUGUAGUUCGCACGUUGCUCAUGAUGCUUGGGACGGCGGGAGGAGGGCCGCUCCUAGGGCGGAUGGGGGCAGUGCGCUGGCGGCCGCGCUGACCCGGUGGAGUCAGAUCUCAUCUGUACGGGCUUCAUCUUCCCGCACAGUAUUCGGGUGCGAGUCAGGACGGGGAAACGUCGCGUAAGUACAAAUAGUGGGGCUGAGAAUUGGCCACUGAACACUGCCAAAAUGGAAUGCGUUUUUCCGACUGGAAAUCGGUUCUCAUGAAUGGCGACGGAAAGACCGAGCGUGCAGCCUGCUGACCGUCCUAGGAACGACGGGAACACACACACACCAGACUAGAGGCCUCGGACCGGAUCCCCCCCAGCCACUCCGGAGGAGAGUGGGGCCUCGGCUAUGAGCUGCUGGUGAGGGUGGAAAGCCAGCAGGGGUCCCUGAAAGGCCCCUCACUGGCGGGUGGUAGCCACAGCCCCAGGAAGUGGUCAGCUUAACUCCCCUCCUCCCACAGCAGCUCUCACAAGGCCACCGCCGAAGUUCCAAGUGCCAUGUCUGACCCCUGCCCCGAUUCCACAUUCUUCGUCUGGAUCGUUUACUACUCUGGGUCAUCUUAGAGUCAAGGUAGGAGCUCUUGGGCCUCUCCUGGUGACUGCACUUUCCUGUUCUGAGACUUGAUGCCUUGAAAGUGAGUCCCCAGAGUCCAGCCUUUUUUCCAAGUACAGGGGACAUUUCACUCGCUCUAACUGCUGAGUCCUUGCACCACGCCCUUCAGAAGUGGACAGAAAGGAUUUUAAUUGCCCAGCAAGAGAGAGAGAUGCUGCGUGCCACUGGUUCAUCGCGCUGCAGAGCCAGUGACAACAGAGGUCUACUAAUUCACUUAUCACCACAAAGUUCGGUCUCUGAGCCAGAGUCCCUCUUGCCCUCUGCCAAGCUGCCAGCAGCUCUGGGGAAGGUAAGACCAAGGUAGUCACUGAGAGGAAUCUCAUUUACAGAAGGGGCAACUGCAGCUUCCCACAGGGCAGGAUGGCCCUUCUGCCAUCAUGGCUGAGACUCAGAGCACAGUGAGCAAUGCCAGCUACUCAGAGUGCUUGUUUAUUCUCGGAAAUGAUAGGCAUCUACUGUACUGGGGUUUCUGUGUCGGUAGUAGGGGGUCCAUUCAACCUGCUCCUUAAUGGUUCUCUGCUCGUCGCUUCCGAUGGAACUGUAGCUGGUCAGAGUCUCUUUUGAGGCUCUAGUGAUGAUGAUCUGUGGAAUGACAACUUUCUUCUUGCUCGCCUUUACCUUUCCAUCAGGGUUCUCUAGAAGGAAGAAAACAUCCAGGUAUUUAAUGUGUCUGUGGAAAAGCUCUUCUACAAGGUGGACAAUGCCUGUGUUAGGGCCAAAGCAAAAGAAUUCGAUGUGUGGUUCAGGAAAAGGAGGGCAAGGUCGAAGGCAGCCCAAACAGUAAAUGAGUGUUCCAGAACUCUAACCAGCUGACACCUCAGGCACGAGGGUAGUGAAUACCAGACACCCUCUUUCAGGGAAUAGAAGGGAGACACACUUCCACCAUCCACUGUGGAGAGACCGAGCUGCCAGCCAGCUUCUGGGACAGACACAGAAGGAAGGGGACAGAGAGAGAAAAGAAGAAGCAGGGUCUGCCCCAGAGGUGAAGGUUCGGAUACAGUUUCCAAAGGAUUCUAAAUCUGGUUAAAAACAAAACAAAACCAAAAAAACCACCUCUCUGUACAGAACCUUAUCAAUGAAUGCGGAAGAAUUAACGUUUCUCCUUUAAAAAAAAAAACAUUUAUUUAUUUUAGAGAGCAAGUGUGAGCAGAGGGAGAGGGAGGGAAUUCUCAAGCAGACUCCCUGCAGAGCACAGAGCCCAGGGUGGGGUCAAUCCCAUGACCCUAAGAUCACAACCUGAGGUGAAACCAAGCGUCAGACGCUCAGCUGACUUAGCCACCCAGGUGCCCCAAGAAUUAACAUUUCUGGAAUCAGCCACAGCAUUUUCUUAAACUUAAGUUUACAAGGAUUGCAUAGGACUUGUGAAAUGCCAAGUUUGUCAAAAGUUACAAAAUACCUAAGCAGAAGUGCUUUCACGCCUUCCCUGCUGCAUCUCCCAGCCACCCCUCGACAGGGCUCCAGGUUGGAGGCUCAGGCCUCUGUUAAAGCCCGACAGAGAGUGCUCUCUCUGUGUACAGGUGUGUGCAGGUAGAGUUCGAGUAAUCACACUGUCACACAACUGUUCCAAAAAUGCUACCACGCUGAUCCUGUUGCUUUUCAUUGUGCUUUGUGCCCCACUUAAAAUGCCUCGUGAAUUCGGCCGCCUGGGGUCCAGUUCUCGGUCAGACAUCAUGGUGAGCCUAGAAUAAGGACUGUGAAUACCAAGCCACAAUGCUUCCUGAAGUAGGGCCUCUUAUGAGCUCUGUUUUACAGAUGAAGGAACUGAGCACUGAGAGGUCGUGUCCUCAAGGCAGCUGGUGGAGAUGCCAGGGUGGGAACUCUGUCCGUCUUCAUGGCCGCACCCCAGCUUUGAUUGUUUUAACUCCCAGUGAAUGGCCCAUGGCAUGUACUAGGCACUGAGAGUGUCCUUUUUAUUUUUAUAAGUGUCAAAACCUGCAUUUCAUAUUUUGCAUUUAAAUUUGGGGGUUUCAUUUUUUAUAUUAAUUUACACAUUCUUUUAUAUAUUAAGACUAAAAAGCAACAAAUAUUUUUUUAACAAAUAUUUGAUUUAAAAAAUAAUACACAAGCAAAAAUUGCAUAUGGAAGGAUUCUUUUCCUUCCUUCUUUCCUUUCCAGUGAAAAAAGGUGUUCCCUGCACCAAACCUAUAAAAACUGUAAACAGUUUUACCCUCUCUGUUUAAUUUUUGGAUUCAUGUAGAAUUCAAGUAAAGACUGAGGCAAAA